UACGUAGGGUGCAAGCGUUAAUCGGAAUUACUGGGCGUAAAGCGUGCGCAGGUGGUUGUGCAAGACAGAUGUGAAAUCCCCGGGCUUAACCUGGGAAUUGCAUUUGUGACUGCACGGCUAGAGUGUGUCAGAGGGGGGUAGAAUUCCACGUGUAGCAGUGGAAUGCGUAGAGAUGUGGAGGAAUACCGAUGGCGAAGGCAGCCCCCUGGGAUAACACUGACGCUCAUGCACGAAAGCGUGGGGAGCAAACAGG
rnacentral:rRNA from 1 species